rnacentral:rRNA from 1 species
UACGUAGGGUGCGAGCGUUGUCCGGAAUUAUUGGGCGUAAAGGGCUCGUAGGCGGUCUGUCGCGUCGAAAGUGGAAACCCAGGGCUUAACCCUGGGCCUGCUUCCGAUACGGGCAGACUAGAGGUAUGCAGGGGAGAACGGAAUUCCUGGUGUAGCGGUGAAAUGCGCAGAUAUCAGGAGGAACACCGGUGGCGAAGGCGGGUCUCUGGGCCGAUACUGACGCUGAGGAGCGAAAGCGUGGGGAGCGAACAGG